ACGGACCACUCGUACGUUUCGAUUCUGAGCGCGUCCUCCGCACCCACCUGACGACUGGCCAGCUUUCUUGUGUUGUCC
rnacentral:sRNA from 1 species